rnacentral:lncRNA from 1 species
AAUUAAUUAAUUGGAUUAAUUAAUUCACGGAUCGGAUUUAAUUAAAUGGAUUAAUUAAAUAUUGGACCGGAUCGAACCAAGCCCGUUUGGAUUUAUAUAAAUACAUGACUAGGGUUUUCAAUCCAUGUGGUUUUUCUCAUAAUUAUUCUUGCUAGCACAAGAGGAGAAAAUCCCGGUAACUGCAAUCUUGUUUUCUGUGUGGAUCACCGUUGGAGGCUGGACAAUUGGACAGUUGUAGGUAUCGAAUCAAAGAUUGUUGGAACGAAAAGAAUAGUAAAGAAGUUUGCACAUCUGAAAAAGGUACAAUCUUAUUACAAUUUCUAUCUAAACACAAAUGCAAUUCUUGAUGGGAAUCGAAAAUUAUUUUAAUUUCCGCUACGCAUGUUAAAUAGAUUCCCAACAGGCUCAUGAGGAAAAUCAAAACAAAGUUAAGGAGGAGGUAGGGGAUGUAAGUUUCCAUCUCAUCUUAUAGUUUUAUGAUGUUGUACGGCAACUUUCUCAUUGUUUCUUGUAAUUAUUCACACCAGAACUUGUAUAAUUGUAUUUCUUUUACUCAGGGUGGGUAUUAUAAUGACAUUAUUUGUAAAUUACUGCCGAUACUUAUCAAGAUUUGUGUUCGUAAUGUGGAGGGUUUCAUAUGCUUGCUAUCUGUAUUGAUGGUAUAUGUUUUUAUAUAUUAAUAAAUAAAGAUAUUAACCUUAUACGUACGGGUACGAAAAUAUUCUUCUGUGUGCUAGGUGUGUUAAGCAGCACCAGAAUACGAAAAUGGUGUGAAUAAAAUUAUGUCAGUUGCGAAGUGGAAAUAAUAUCAUUUCUUUGAUUCUUUUGGAUCCGAAAGUUUAUAAGUGAUUGCAAUAAAGUGAAGUAAAAGAGGUAUUGGACACUUUGAUUUGCUUGAUUUCUUGUCAGUUCAGUUUUCUGAAGAAACUGAUUUUUCUUAGAAAGGUUCUUGGAAUGGUAGUUAAAACUACAGAUCCCUUUAUCCCCAUGAAAUUUCAAUAUUCUAAGGACUCAGAUCAAUUGUUUGUUAUUGCAGAUUGCUCCUUUCGACCCAUAAAGAAGAAGGUCGCGAUUCAAGAUUCAGCAGAAGAAGAGACUGUUGAUAAUCUGUCUGAGAAAACUGAGAGCCUGUCUGGGAAAUAAAUUCAGCAAUCUAUUGUUUAUGUAAAUUAAUUCUGCCAUCUAAUGUUCAUGAUUUCCUGUACAUUGUUCCUUGUCCACAUUUUUAUUGGACGGCAAUUGUGCUAUGAUGCUGUGUAUGUUUACUGAAUUCUGUAGUUUAUGAUGGUCUUGAAACUUCAUUUGAUGGUUACUUGUGAUUUAUUAUAUAUAUAUAU